UACGUAGGGGGCAAGCGUUGUCCGGAUUUAUUGGGCGUAAAGAGCGUGUAGGCGGCUAGGUAGGUCCGUUGUGAAAACUCGAGGCUCAACCUCGAGACGCCGGUGGAAACCAUCUAGCUAGAGUCCGGAAGAGGAGAGUGGAAUUCCUGGUGUAGCGGUGAAAUGCGCAGAUAUCAGGAAGAACACCCGUGGCGAAGGCCGCUCUCUGGGACGUGACUGACGCUGAGACCCGAAAGCGUGGGGAGCGAACAGG
rnacentral:rRNA from 1 species